CAGUAGCCGCGGUAAUACAGAGGGUGCGAGCGUUAAUCGGAUUUACUGGGCGUAAAGCGUGCGUAGGCGGCUUUUUAAGUCGGAUGUGAAAUCCCUGAGCUUAACUUAGGAAUUGCAUUCGAUACUGGGAAGCUAGAGUAUGGGAGAGGAUGGUAGAAUUCCAGGUGUAGCGGUGAAAUGCGUAGAGAUCUGGAGGAAUACCGAUGGCGAAGGCAGCCAUCUGGCCUAAUACUGACGCUGAGGUACGAAAGCAUGGGGAGCAAACAUGAUUAGAUACCCCAGUAGUCCCUGUCUCUUAUAC
rnacentral:rRNA from 1 species